AUUGAACGCUGGCGGCAGGCCUAACACAUGCGAGUCGAGCGGAUGAAGGGAGCUUGCUCCUGGAUUCAGCGGCGGACGGGUGAGUAAUGCCUAGGAAUCUGCCUGGUAGUGGGGGAUAACGUCCGGAAACGGGCGCUAAUACCGCAUACGUCCUGAGGGAGAAAGUGGGGGAUCUUCGGACCUCACGCUAUCGGAUGAGCCUAGGUCGGAUUAGCUAGUUGGUGGGGUAAAGGCCUACCAGGGCGACGAUCCGUAACUGGUCUGAGAGGAUGAUCAGUCACACUGGAACUGAGACACGGUCCAGACUCCUACGGGAGGCAGCAGUGGGGAAUAUUGGACAAUGGGCGAAAGCCUGAUCCAGCCAUGCCGCGUGUGUGAAGAAGGUCUUCGGAUUGUAAAGCACUUUAAGUUGGGAGGAAGGGCAGUAAGUUAAUACCUUGCUGUUUUGACGUUACCAACAGAAUAAGCACCGGCUAACUUCGUG
rnacentral:rRNA from 1 species